CCUACGGGGGGCAGCAGUGGGGAAUAUUGGACAAUGGGGGGAACCCUGAUCCAGCCAUGCCGCGUGUGUGAAGAAGGCCCUCGGGUUGUAAAGCACUUUCAGUGAGGAAGAACGCCUGGUGGUUAAUACCCAUCAGGAAAGACAUCACUCACAGAAGAAGCACCGGCUAACUCCGUGCCAGCAGCCGCGGUAAUACGGAGGGUGCGAGCGUUAAUCGGAAUUACUGGGCGUAAAGCGCGCGUAGGUGGCUUGAUAAGCCGGUUGAGAAAGCCCCGGGCUCAACCUGGGAACGGCAUCCGGAACUGUCAAGCUAGAGUGCAGGAGAGGAAGGUAGAAUUCCCGGUGUAGCGGUGAAAUGCGUAGAGAUCGGGAGGAAUACCAGUGGCGAAGGCGGCCUUCUGGACUGACACUGACACUGAGGUGCGAAAGCGUGGGUAGCAAACAGGAUUAGAUACCCUAGUAGUC
rnacentral:rRNA from 1 species